rnacentral:tRNA from 1 species
GUUACUUUGACAGAAUAAUGUAUUGAAUUUAGAAUUCAUUUAUGUAAAUUUAAGUUUACAGGUAAUA